ensembl:lncRNA
AGCAACCAGUAGUUUUUAUUAACUGUCUUGAUAACAGAUCUGCUUAUAUAGAUUUGAUUACAUAUGUGUGGCUUCAGCAGAAUUGUUGCAUCCGUUGCAAUAUUCUUGCUUAUAUUGUUCUAUGCAAUUCAGUAUCCUUUAGGCUUCUAGAUUUUUUUCUUAAUUGGCAAGAAAGAAAAUUUUAUCUGUGAUUUAAAUUUUCUAUCUAUGAUCUAAUUUUGCACUUUGACAUACCAUAUCCACCAUACUAUAUUAUUCAGCAAAACUGAAAAUAUACAGGAUUUAGCACUCUGUAUGGGUCAUUAUAAAAUAGUCCUGAAAAAACUCUAUUUGACACAGGUGCCAAAAAUGACACGUAGAAGCUGGUGCACAGAUUCAACGUAAGCAGAUGGACUUCUAGAUAAUGCUGUAAAUACAGACAUGGAGAAAAUCUGUAAGGAUUAAAAUAUGUUUAUAUAGAAUUGUAUAGUGUUGGUAAGCACCAGGAUAUAGAAAUGUAUUCUAAAAAAAAUGUGUUUCAAAGGCUCAAGGCUGAAAAAAAGAAUACAAUGGUUUAAAAUACAAGUACCCAGAGUAUUACAGGACUUAUGACAGAAUCAUAACCAACUAUCUUUAGAAAUAUCAAUCUGUAAGUAGAAGAUCACAAUGACAUAAUAUUUUCCCUUAAAACUUUGCAUCACCAGCUAUGUAUUAACACCGCCUUACUCAAUGGAUUUUAUUAUCACAUUUCUCUACACAUUGUUGCCAUUUGGAUAUGAGUAAUAUCAAGCGCUGCAGAAAAGUCAUAGAACCUUCAGCUCUUAUCUAAAAAAAAACAUUCCAACUUGAUGAAUUUAAACCAUUUUGAAGAUGAGACACAGCACUUUAAAGUAUCUUUUAAAAGACUCCAAAUAAUUAAAAACCCUACUUGAUUAGUCUUAAUAAAUUACAGUGAUGAGUUUUUAAUUCAGUGAGAGAAAAACUUGUGAGACCUACAGAAGUAUUCAAAUAUUAUGUGCUUGGUUUAGGAUUCUACCUGUCUUCAUUUAAAUUAUCUGGGAUCAAAUUUGAUGCAUCUUAUAAAUUACAAGAAUUACUAUUGGUCCACCUGCAGGGCUAAAUGUUUGUGCUGUUUGGUAUCCAGGAAAUCCCAAAUCAUCUUCUUCUGAGGUUUAUUUAGUGCCUCAGAAGAAAAAAAAAAAAAUCUCAGAACUCAGGAACAAAAAAAUAAGAGUUCCUUUAUGUCAGUUGUAAAGAUAUAUACAAUGCAUCUUCAUAUCAGAUUCUCUAGGACCAAAAAAAUAGGGUUUUUAAAAAAUUAAGUCUUUACAGUGACUGGUUUUACAGAUUACUUGGUUUUAAAGUUUAGAUAGUGUAGCAUUCCUGUCUGCAUUACAUAUGUCUGCCAUUUCCUUUAGAACAGGGAGCAUCAUAAAAUGACACAGAUUUCCUUCUUCUCAAAAUGCCUAUGGAACUGCCAUACUAUAUGAAUUUAAGGCUUUUACUGGCCCACAGUCUACACAAGGAUAUCUAUGAUUACACAAAGCAUUAGUAUUAAGUGUCCUAAUUUGAUUACUCUGGCCAGGCAUAAUAAAAAGAUAAUAUUACAUGGUAAUAAAGCAUCCUCAAAAAGCUGUAUUUACUAUGCUAUUCUAACAAAAAGGUAAAAAGCCAGGUAAGAAUUCAGCCAGGAACUGAUGUCAGAUUCCUGCUUUAAGAUUAGGAAUGUUCAUGUUCAAUUAUUGUUUGUUACUGAGAUACUGAGUACACGUUGGUUUGCUGUCUCUGGCUGCCUGUUCUCAUUCGGUGUUUAAAGGUACCUUUGUCACAUUCAAAUGGGUUUUACUUCACCUGACUUUAGUCCUCUAGUCAAAGGUAGGCAUCUGUGCUUCCUUUCACUGGAGUUAACAAAGAAAAUAAAUGACCUGAAAAAGGCAAUUUAUGUCACUUUUCCUAGAAAGAGAAGGUUUGGACUGAUAAGUACCUGUGCACCACAAGGUAGGGUAUGACUAACUGAGGCUGGAUCCUGAACUUUUAGUAGUUAUUGAGAAGAAUUCCACCGUAGUAACUGAAAGAUAUGAAUGCAUGUGCAAGAGUGCAAUCAUGACACAGUCUAAUUGAUAUUCCUGCAAAUGAAGAUAAAAUACCAAAAUAUUAUUUCAAUGUACAGUUGAUGGCUUCAAAGCCAGUCCAAACUACACAUAUCAACACUCACUCUUGAAACAGAACAACGCCCACCACUUUGCUUCUUCGGGUAGGCAAAUUUUAAUCUUUUACUAUGAGACUGACAGUUUUGUAUCCAGUUGCCAUGACAGCAGAAGCCAAAGAACCAUGAACCAAAGUUCACUCUCCAUACCCCAGCCUCCUUCCCCAUGCGUGAUUUUCACAUUCACAGCUCCAAAAGGUUACCAGCAUUUAGCACAGUAGGAAGGACACUUGUCCAGGCUCUCUUUUCAUGUCUCACAUCUGGGAGCAAGACUCCUGAGAUACUGCUAUUAAUGGACCUCCAGCAUGUUGGCUGGUCCAAGAGUAUCUUCACAGGCAUUCUGGAAAAUUUGCAAUGUCGCAAUAGCU